GCUCAAAUUUAAAAUCUAAUGGUCUUUUUGGCCAUUCGAGUUGUAAUUUAGAGAAGCGUCUUCCGCGCCAGACCAUGUACAAGUCUCCUGGAACGGAGCGUCGUAGAGGGUGAGAAUCCCGUCUUUGACAUGGACACUCGGUGCUUCUGUGAUGCGCUCUCAAAGAGUCGAGUUGUUUGGGAAUGCAGCUCAAAAUGGGUGGUGAACUCCAUCUAAGGCUAAAUAUUGGCGAGAGACCGAUAGCGAACAAGUACCGUGAGGGAAAGAUGAAAAGCACUUUGGAAAGAGAGUGAAACAGUACGUGAAAUUGUUGAAAGGGAAACACUUGAAGUCAGUCGCGUCGAUCAAGACUCAGCCUUGCCUCGUGCUUGGCGUACUUCUUGACUUGACGGGCCAGCAUCAAUUUCGUCCCUCGGAUAAUGGCGAGUGAAAUGUGGCACCUUUGCGGGUGUGUUUAUAGUCUCUUGUCGCAUGCGAGGGGUGGGAUUGAGGAACUCAGCACGCGUCUCACGGCGUCGGGGCUUCGGCCCACGUUUACGUGCUUAGGAUGCCGGCG
rnacentral:rRNA from 1 species